GUCAAUGUUGUGAACAGAGUACCCCAUGGUGGCGUUGGGGUUAUGGUAUGGGCAGACAUAAGCUAUGGACAAUGAACACAAUUGCAUUUUAUUGAUGGCAAUUUGAAUGCACAGAGAUAACGUGAAGAGAUCCAGAGGCCCGUUGUCACACCAUUCAUCCGCCUCCAUCACCUCAUGUUUCAGCAUGAUAAUGCACGGCCCCAUGUUGCAUGGAUCUGUUCACAAUUUAUGGAAGAUGAAAAUGUCCCAGUUCUUCCACAGCCUGCAUACUCACCAGACACGUCACCCAUUGAGCAUGUUUGGGAUGCUCUGGCUCGACAUGUACAACAGCGUGUUCCAGUUCCCUCCAAUAUCCAGCAACUUCACACAGCCAUUGAAGAGGAGUGGGACAACAUUCCACAGACGUUCCACAGGCCACAAUCAAUAGCCUGAUCACCUCUGUGAAGGAGACGUCGUGCUGGAUGAGGCAAAUGGGGGUCACACAAGAUACUUUUAUUUCUUAUUGUCUGAUCCAUGCCCCUACUUAAAAAAAAAGGUAUUAGUGACAAACAGAUGCUUUUCUGUAUUACCAGUCAUGUGAAAUCCAUAGAUUAAGGGCUAAUACAUGUAUUUCAAUUGACUGAUUUCCUUAUAUGAACUGAUACUCAGAACAAUUUCAAAGAUUUUACUAUGUUGGUUUUAUAUUUUUGUUCAUUGUCUAUACAAAUACAUAUGUAUUCUAGGUGUGGACUCCAACAACAAAGUGCCAUAUAACUGAUCAUGUUGUUUUCCAAGAGAGCCACGUAUUUUGAUGAACAAUGCUAUGUAACCCAAAGGAUGAGGCAAAUAAAUUGAUUAUGGAUAAAUGUAAUAACGCAGUAAGGCUGUUGUAUCUAUGUAAUCAUUCAUUAUUUUCUCUGUGUUUAUGUUAAAUGUUUUAAUGUUGACAUUGUAAUGCACAGAUCAAAGGCAAGGGAUGAGAAGUAACCAUUUAUGGAUCGCUGCGGCACACGGUAUUAAUAUAUCUAGUUGGAUUUGAUAGGGAAGGAUAACGUUUUCAUUUUGUGAAUCCACACUGGACAACAAAUCAGUGACUGCAAGGUCAUGUGUUGCUGCUGCCCCCUUGCGGUUGGUCUCCAUCACCCCUGUUCUGCUAAAUCUCAUUCUCCACAAAAUGGUAUCAUCUGCCGUGUCAACAUGGAGUCCCUGGUAAAAGAUGAGAAAUUAUUGUUGCAUUUUUUUGCAGAUUUAGAAGUAAUAAUUUCAAACAAAAUUUGACCAUUUUGUUCCAUUUUUAUUAAUAUUAAAGUUAGCUCUAAACGUUAUACAUUUAAGCAGAUAAUUCAUGUUCGUUGCAUGCAUGAGUUGUUUCAUAUCACCUGUGCUCAAACGAAUCGAUAAAUGUGGUUAGUGCAUGCAGUGUAAAGUGUUUCCAAAUACAGUCGAUAGCCGCAGGUCUCUGUUAACUAACUCUACUGCACCUCUCACCUAGGCACGAAUGGAACCCGAUGCUGUCAUUACUUUGUACAAGGAAUAUAGUGGGUAUCCCAUUCCUAUUAUGCCUUCGUGACUGCGACCGAACCAGAAGGAUGCUGCAUUACUAGUUUUUAAUUUGUCGACAGAGUGGAGCCAAAGUGAGACAGUCAAUGGAAACGGACUGCACAAUACCCAGCAGUGGACACUGAUUCAAGAGGACAGUAAAGAUCUUACCACCAAACCCUGCAGUCUCUUACACCAUGAAUAUGGAGCAGCUAUGGCAUGAGAAAAAUGAUCAAGCUCACUGAUCUCAACAAACAUGGGAGAGCGUAUGAGGAUGGUAAGGCCUUGAGUGAUUUGAAUGACUACCCCACAGAGUGCAAAGAACCUUGGGGUGAUCCUGGACAACACCCUGUUGUUCUCUGCAAACAUCAAAGCAGUGACUCGAUCCUGCAGGUUUGUGUUCUGCAACAUCCAUAGACUACGACCCUUCCUCACACAGGAAGCAGUGCAGGUCCUAAUACAGGAACUUGUCAUCUCCUGUCUGGACUUCUGCGACUCGCUGUUGAUGUCAUGGCUUUAUAAGCUCGGAUAGGGUAAUUGACAUAAUUUGAGUCAAUUGGAGGUGUACCUGUGGAUGUAU